rnacentral:rRNA from 1 species
CUACGGGAGGCAGCAGUGGGGAAUAUUGGACAAUGGGCGCAAGCCUGAUCCAGCAAUGCCGCGUGAGUGAAGAAGGUCUUCGGAUUGUAAAUCUCUUUCAACGGGGACGAUGAUGACGGUACCCGUAGAAGAAGCCCCGGCUAACUUCGUGCCAGCAGCCGCGGUAAUACGAAGGGGGCAAGCGUUGCUCGGAAUGACUGGGCGUAAAGGGCGUGCAGGCGGUUUAUAGCUGUUGGGUGUGAAAUUUUGGGGCUUAACCCUGAAACUGCAUUCAAGACGUAUAGACUAGAGUAUGUGAGAGGAUAGUGGAAUUCCCAGUGUAGAGGUGAAAGUCGUAGAUAUUGGGAAGAACACCGGUUGCGAAGGCGGCUAUCUGGCGCAUUACUGACGCUGAGGCGCGAAAGCGUGGGGAGCAAACAGGAUUAGAUACCCCAGUAGUC